rnacentral:rRNA from 1 species
GACGAACGCUGGCGGCGUGCUUAACACAUGCAAGUCGAACGGAAAGGCCCUGCUUUUGUGGGGUGCUCGAGUGACGAACGGGUGAGUAACACGUGAGUAACCUGCCCUUGACUUUGGGAUAACUUCAUGAAACUGGGGCUAAUACCGGAUAAGAGCUCCUGCUGCAUGGUGGGGGUUGGAAAGUUUCGGCGGUUGGGGAUGGACUCGCGGCUUAUCAGCUCGUUGGUGGGGUAGUGGCUUACCAAGGCUUUGACGGGUAGCCGGCCUGAGAGGGUGACCGGACAAAUUGGGACGGAAAUAAGACACGGACUCGUACGGGACGCAGGAGUGGGGAAUAUUGCAUUAUGGGAGGAAGCAUGAUGUAGCAAAGCAGCGUGGGGGAUGAGGGCAAUCGGUUUGUAUUCUAAAUCCGCCUGUCACGAAGUGUGAGUGACAGUAAUGGGUAAAGAAGCACCGGCUAACUACGUG